rnacentral:rRNA from 1 species
GACGAACGCUGGCGGCGUGCCUAAUACAUGCAAGUAGAACGCUGAAACUUGGUGCUUGCACCGAGCGGAUGAGUUGCGAACGGGUGAGUAACGCGUAGGUAACCUGCCUGGUAGCGGGGGAUAACUAUUGGAAACGAUAGCUAAUACCGCAUAAGAGUAGAUGUUGCAUGACAUUUGCUUAAAAGGUGCAAUUGCACCACUACCAUAUGGACCUGCGAUGUAUUAGCUAGUUGGUGGGGUAACGGCUCACCAAGGCGACGAUACAUAGCCGACCUGAGAGGGUGAUAGGCCACGCGGGGAAGGAGACACGACCCAGACUCCUGAGGGAGGCAGCAGUAGGGAAUCGUCGGCAAUGGACGGAAGUCUGACCGAGCAACGCCGCGUGGGUGAAGAAGGUUUUCGGAACGUAAAGCUCUGUUGUAAGAGAAGAACGAGUGUGAGAGUGGAGAGUUCACAGUGUGACGGUAUCUUACCAGAAAGGAACGGCUAAAUACGUG